GUGACCUGAACGCUGAGAAAAUAAGUAAGAUGAAUGAAGCAGCUGCUGAUUAUGGUGUCAAACUGAUUUCAUUGAUCAUUGGUGGAAAUCCCAACAUGGAUAAAGGGGCAUUUCAAGAACUGGCAAAGUUACUUAGAAAUACCGGUGCAGAAUAUCUGUUUGCAAAAGAUUGCACUCCUACAACUGAGCAGUUAUCAGCUCUUUGCACAAGUUUAGAAAAUGAAAAUAUCAAAUUAUCUGGCUUAGACUUGCAAAAAUCAACUACAGAAUCUCUCACAGAUGAUGAACUGAUGAUUGUUUCUCGACUGUUUCAGAGGGUGAGGAAACUCAACUUCUAUGACCAAAUGCUGAACGUAUUACAAAUGAAGUUUCUAACCGAGGAAAUAAAGAAAUAUAGUCCGGGAGCUGAGAUAGAAUGUGGAUCGUGGGGAUUUGAGAUCGCCAAAUCGAAUUCUGACAAAUAAUGUACGAAUGGGAUGGGUAUUUCAAUUCGAACCAAUAGCAAUUUUUCAAAUCGCUCAAGAUGAAAGGUCUAUGUGUGGUUACCUCAAUUUUUUGUAAAGCCAUAUAUUCAGAAUGCAUUCUGACUCCUUUUUCGUAGCGAAUUAUUUCUUAAACAUGUUCUUUAUUAGGUAUGAAAACGCAGCUAACUGACUAACUUAUUGAUUUUGUGUUUUCAAUUUUAAGAUAAUCUUAUGUUUAAAGUAUGGUAUCAGGAGUUAAAUGCAAUUUGAAUCCCUUCUUAAUGGUACUAAUAGUCUAAAAUCGAUUCUAAAUUGCUGUAAUAAUUCAGUAUGUUUUGAUUAUAAACACUGCCUUCCAAUGGAACAGCUGCUUGAUAUAUAUUCCCAAAGUUCUUUAAGUUUCAUAUAUUCCUAAUUACUGUAAUAAUUACAGUGUAUUCAAAUAGUCAUAGUCAACUAUUUUUAGUAAAUGUAUUUUGUAAUUUUUAUGCAAAUAAUGGUGCGCAGUAGUAAUUUCAUAUUUAGUAUUCUGUAAUAGUUUUCAUAUAUUAGAGAAUUUAAUUAGUGUCUAGUUAUUUGCCAAAGCCAGUGCUCAACAGUUUUUAAUUUUGCUGUGCAAUUUUUUGUGUUGCUCUUUCAUGCUGCCGUAUAAUCCUUGUAUUAAUUAGUAUAUCCAAUACGUUUUUGCUGAGGUUAGCUGAUCAUUGUUUUUUGUGUAAUUUUAGCCUUGGUUUAUUGUAGACAAUAAUAUGUGAGCAAUAUUUCUACUUUGGAAUUUAUGGCUUUUAUAAAGAUGAAAAUUGUCUGGAAGUACCGUGCACUUGCCUGCUCAUCGCAGCUGAACAGUUCACUAAAUGAAUAAGGAUAUCUGAAGAUGCAACAAUUUUGUUCCUGAAUUUGAAUAUCUCAAACCACCAGAAAGAAAUUCUAUAGGGAUAGAUUGAUGGAUUGUGCAAUAUAGAGGUUCUUUUAUCUCCAAAAGAAGCGACGAAUCACUCAAGAACUGACAUCUUCUUGUAAACGAGAGAUGAUGAGAAAACUUGAAAGUUGUUCCAAUAAAUACCUAGAGAAUAUCUUUCUGAUAUUGAAGAAUUUCUGAAGCUGUUCUGCCAAGCCUGAAUGACCCUUGGCAUUGCCUAUUCAAUUUAUUGCACUCUCGGUGAGGUGGUGGACAUGGGAAUUGGACCCGAGAUAUUUAACAAACAUAGUGAAGAAGACCAAACGCUCUAACUACCAGGCCCAUUUAUUAUGUCAUUAUUGAAGUGGUGGCCAUGAGGUUUGAGCUGUCUGUAACCUGCAAUGCCAACUGAGAUGAGUCGAUGUUUUGGCAACUGUACCUAUCUGUUACAAUUUCUGUCUAAUACAUUACUGAACAACUUGGACAUAGUUAUUUUAGUUGCCCUCACUAAGUUGGAAUCUGGCCAUUGGGGUAAUUCAGCUCGCCUGAUGCUGCUAAAACCAAAUUUUGAUGUUUACCCUAAACAUUAACUCAAAAAACUUACGAUUAUAUUUAGUUUUGACAUGAGGCUUAUUGUUUCCCACUUUUGCCUUUGUAACACUGAAUAUUGUUCAUGAAAUUUAACCUUUUAUGUCACACUUACAUGGCCUGUCGGUCUGGGUGAGCGAAAUUUUUUGCCCCUGGUUCAAAAACCUUGCCCACUCGUGUAGUAGUAGAUAGUAUCUGCUCGUAUUAAGACUUGAUUGAAGAAGUAUUGCCCAAGUGUCCAUGCAAAUAACUUAACGGCUGUAUAGUAAAAUUUGCAUAAAUAAUUUUCCCAGAUCCUCCAAUGAUCUUUGAAGUCUGAUUUUUUCUCUGGUAUUGGACUGGUAAUUCUUAGUAAAACUUAAAUUAAGAUUUUAAAUAAACAUAGAAUACAAAAAUCCUGGCAUGCAGCAUUUCACGCUUUCAUUCCAAAAAAAAAAACAUCUUUGUAUAGGCAGCCACUUUAUUAUCAGCUACCAAAUUUGAAAGUAAAAAAUGUCUUUCGAUUAGACAUUGCCAACCCAAUUUUACCUUGGGUAGUAGUUGUGGAAUUUGAACUCAAGAUCUUUAAUCUGCAAUGCUGAUAUAUACCUUAUAUCCUCACAUAUAAGCCAAGUUUAGAAUUAAAAAAAAAAUCUUGCCAAACUGAGGGGUCGACGUAUAAGUGCUAAGUUGUAUCAGUAAGAGCUGCGAGAUCAGCUUGUAUGUGAGGAUAUAUGGGUAGGUCGAACAUUUUGACAACAUUUCAUAGCUAUAUCAUGUUAAUCCACCAUAGUUUUUUAGACUUUGUUUCAAUUUAUAGUUGGUUUCAUGAAUUUUCUCAAUUCGGACUUUCUUGUAUUUUCAUCGAUCUGUUGUUACUUUGAUUAACGAGUUAAUUCAGUUGCAUUUUCAAUUUUGCCACAAAUGAAAUAAAAGUAUAUUUUUGAAGUCAAAACUGUGGUGCUUAUCUUAG